rnacentral:lncRNA from 1 species
CAGAAAUUGGAUUUAUAAGGUAUGUGAGCACCUACCUGAUCCAGACCUUUAAAAAUAUAUGAUCUUUUUCAAGAACCAGCUCCUCUUCUUUCUCUUCACCAAUUAUUAAAUUGUAUAUAUAAGGAUUUGAGAGUCUCAGAAUCAAGACAUACCAUAAAGUGGUGUACAGUAUAACUAUAGUGGGGUUAUUCAUAUCACUACAGAAGUAAUAUUAAGAUAUACCUGUCAUAUCCUGCCCCUUCCUCAUUUUCUACUCCAUGCUCCCCCCAAAUCCUCCUUUUAGAUGGCUGCGGCUCUGCAUUCAAUCCAAGUGGGAGGACGCAAUUCCUUUGGCGCUAAAGAUGGCAACUGAACAAGGAAGAAUGAAGUUUACCCGGCCCUUAUUCAAGGAUCUUGCUGCCUUUGACAAAUCCCAUGAUCAAGCUGUCCGAACCUACCAAGAGCACAAAGCAAGCAUGCAUCCCGUGACUGCAAUGCUGGUGGGGAAAGACUUAAAAGUGGAUUAAAGACCUGCGUAUUGAUGAUUUUAGAGAUUUCUCUUUUUUAAAUGGAAUUCGUAAAGAAAUAUAAAACUUCAGCUCACAAUUAAAACUGUCUUUUUAGUUUUGGCUUUUUAUUGUUUUGUUGGUGAUUUUACUGAAAUAAAGUUGAGCUACUUCUUCUUA